rnacentral:tRNA from 1 species
GAGGGUAUAGCUCAGUGGUAGAGUAGGUGACUAGCAAGCAUAAAGUCCUGGAUUCAAUCCCCAGUACCUCCA